GGUACCCUAGCUCAGUUGGUAGAGCAAAGGACUGAAAAUCCUUGUGUCACUGGUUCGAUUCCAGUGGGUACCA
rnacentral:tRNA from 2 species